CGGUUAAAAAGCUCGUAGUUGGAUCUCGGCGGGCAGGGGGUGGUUCGCUCUUCAGCGCUACUGCCCCGCUUUGCCCGUGUGAUUGGCGGAGGUUUCGGGGUGCUCUUCGUUGAGUGACUCGGAGCGCCGUCAGGUUUACUUUGAAAAAAUUAGAGUGCUCAAAGCAGGCUUUUCACGCUUGAAUAUUCGUGCAUGGAAUAAUGGAAUAGGAACUCGUUUCUAUUUUGUUGGUUUUCGGAAAUCGAGUUAAUGAUUAACAGGGACAAUUGGGGGCAUUAGUAUUCAGACGACAGAGGUGAAAUUCUUGGACCGUCUGAAGACUGACUACUGCGAGAGCAUUUGCCAAGAGUGUUUUCAUUAAUCAAGAACGAAAGUUAGAGGUUCGAAGGCGAUCAGAUACCGCCCUAGUCCUAACCAUAAACGAUGCCAGCUAGCGAUCUGCCGAGUUUUUUUUGUAGGCUCCGCAGGAAGCUUUCGGGAAACCAAAGCUUUUGGGUUCCGGGGGAAGUAUGGUUGCAAAGCUGAAACUUAAAGGAAUUGACGGAAGGGCACCACCAGGAGUGGAGCCUGCGGCUUAAUUUGACUCAACACGGGAAAUCUCACCAGGCCCGGACACUGGAAGGAUUGACAGAUUGAGAGCUCUUUCUC
rnacentral:rRNA from 1 species